GUGGGGAAUCUUGCGCAAUGGGCGAAAGCCUGACGCAGCCAUGCCGCGUGAAUGAUGAAGGUCUUAGGAUUGUAAAAUUCUUUCACCGGGGACGAUAAUGACGGUACCCGGAGAAGAAGCUCCGGCUAACUUCGUGCCAGCAGCCGCGGUAAUACGAAGGGGGCUAGCGUUGCUCGGAAUUACUGGGCGUAAAGGGCGCGUAGGCGGACAGCUUAGUCAGAGGUGAAAGCCCAGGGCUCAACCUUGGAAUUGCCUGUGAUACUGGCUGUCUUGAGUUUGGAAGAGGUGAGUGGAACUCCGAGUGUAGAGGUGAAAUUCGUAGAUAUUCGGAAGAACACCAGUGGCGAAGGCGACUCACUGGCCCAAUACUGACGCUGAGGCGCGAAAGCGUGGGGAGCAAACGGGAUUAGAUACCCUAGUAGUCC
rnacentral:rRNA from 1 species